GCUGUUGCUCAGUGGUAGUUGAUCGUCUGCUUUGGAAGCAGAAGGUCCUCAGGUUCAUUCCUCAGGUUCAGCA